AUAUACUACGGAGUAUAGCAAAGACCACGAGAGAGCGAUCGCGCGGCGCCGGCGAUAAUACAAAAAAAAAAACCCAAUAUCCUUCGAGCCCUAACUUCCGCCGGACCAAGGGAGCGGCGGCGGUAGUGCAAUCAUGACUUCUCGGCUCAGAUCCAGGACGCCGUGGCUGCAGUCGCCGCAAGAAGGUGAUGCGUCGGUGGGCUCCAGGCGGAGGCAAUACCAGAGGAGAAACAAGAUGGACGCGGCGAUGGAGGACAUAUCCAAGCCACGGAAAAGGAGGACCCUGGCGUCGAUCCGCCAAGAGUAUGAGGACGAGCAGAAGAAAAGGAAUCUGGAGAUGGCGAAUUUCGACGAGGAAGGGGUAGUGGACAACUCUCCACGCAGCCCUCCGGUACACAAGGAGCCCUUGAGAGAGAUUGAAUCAUUUGACACUCUUAAGGAAUACAUGGACUAUCUUGAAAUGCUUGACGAAGAAUCAGAUCGCGGCCGCAAAGAUGUUCCAGACCAUCCUACGAUCUUCUUCACUCCUCCCACCAGGUUCAAUACGCCACAGCAUUUACCCCUUCGUGAACCUGGAACCAAGGCUGUGCGCUCUGCCUCCAAAUUCGUCGUUGGGCUUUCAUCAUCUCUUGAUGGCAAGCCACUUAAGCGGUGUUCUGGUUUCUGGAUCGACUAUGACGAGGAGAAGGGAAUCGGCACUCUCUUGACGACGGCGCAUCUGAUUCGCACAAAGGAGCCGAAGCGGGCGGACUCCGUCUGGUUAGUAAGACGGGAGUAUGCUACUCAUGCUAAUGUCAUUGUUCACUUGCUGGACGGCAAGACUGCAGAGGGCCAGCUGCUCUACCACCAGCCCCAUUAUGAUCUUGCCUUCUUCAGGGUUACACUGGAUCAACCUGUUCCAUUACCGUGUUUCAACGAAGAAGUGGAGUUUGCUCAAGAUGUCCUUCACCUCGGAAGAGACAAAUCAUUGGGUCUAAGGAUAAACCAUGGCAGGGCAGCAUACUCAAAUCCGGUGGUAAUGGAGCAAUACCACUAAAUGUACUUGCAUUCUGAAGAUUAUCGACAUAUUGCUCACAAGUUUGACGAUGGCGGGCCAGUCAUUGAUCUUAAUGGAAAAGUUGUGGGACUGUUCAACAUUAGUACGAGAGGGUCCUUUAUACCUUCUUCUAUUUUGCUCAAGUGCUUGAAAUCAUGGAAGAUCGCCGGGGCAAUCUUUCGACCUCUCGUUGGAUUGACUUUCAAGGCUAUCAAGCUGCUAGAGCCUGGACGUGUUGAUAAGAUAUGGCGUAUGUAUAAGAUUGAGGACGGUCUUAUCGUCGAACAGGUGUCAGAGGGAUCUCACGCCCAGAAACUUGGGAUCCGAGAAGGUGAUAUAAUCGAAUGUUUUGACGGGAAAUGCAUUUCUACUACAGUGGAGUUGGAGAACAUGUUCUUGAGUAUUUGCAACAGCCCUUUUUACAGCCUUGAUGGCAAAGUUCACAUUUCGGUUGGGGUUUUUUCUAUCCGCAAAAAACUCCGGAGGAAUGUAGUGUUGACUGCAAAUUUAUCUGAGCAUGGAGAAAUUGUGCGAGGUCCUCUUGUCUCUUGAACCAGGGGUCAGGAAACAGAGAUGUCAGUUUGCUGGAUGCUCUGAUAUUAACUUAAAUAUACUUCUAUGGCUAGACUCUCUGGAAGUUGUCGUUUUGGACUGUUGUUAUAUAUAUUUUCUUAGAUUAUGCCUGUAGAUUAUCCUGAGAAGUGAUUUCACAGUAUCAUCAUAAUGUUUGGGUUUGUCAAUGUGCUUCCUGCAUCAAUAUGUAAUUGGGUGGUGUUUAUGAAGACGAUGUCUAAAUUAAAAAUCGUCUGCUUAGUAGAAGAUUCAUUGGGUGGUGUAAUUGGGGCAGGCUCUUAGGUGAAAGAUCCAAGUCUUUUUGACUAUAUCAUUUUUAAACAAUACAGAUGCUGUCCGCUAAUACAGAGUGACUGGGAUGUUUUGCUAUUA